CACACACACACUCACACACACUCACACACACUCACACUCUCACAGUCUCUCUCUCUCACUCUCACAGUCUCUCUCUCUCACACACACACACUCACACACUCUCACUCUCACAGUCUCUCUUACACACACACACACACACACACACACACACACACACACACACACACACACACACACACACACUGGUUGCAUUGAUUUCAUCAUCAGAUUGUUUACCAUAACAUGGUAUUCAUUUAGAUUGAUAUUGAUCUAACUACCUUUUUACCAUGUCAUUUCUGGUGUGUUGUGGACUGUGAAAUACAGGUAUUUUUUAAUCACGUUGGUACUAUUUUCACAAGUACGUGGUGAAUUUUCAAAACUCCAAACUGGUAUCACUUGUAACGCAGCUAGUCUUACAUUCAAAACCUUUCAUUGUGCAUUAAUUUUGUUUGUUUGUAGACAUCAGUUCACCACACAACCAUUCCAUCCAAAAUAUACAUGUACUGUGAAAUAUAAUACCUUGGUUUAAUCACCAAAACACAACAUGAUGACAUCUUCUCAAUUUAGCUAUUUCAAAUCAGUUAAUCCAUAGUGCAGAAAUAUUUGGUAUUACGUUACUGCAUUGGUCAAUGCAGUUUUAGUACUGCAGGUUAGGGUUAGGUUAGGGUUAGUGGCAGGUUAGGGUUAGGUUAGGGUUCGGUUAGGGUUAGUAGCAGGUUAGGGUUAGGUUAGGGUUAGUGGCAGGUUAGGGUUCGGUUAGGGUUAGUAGCAGGUUAGGGUUAGGUUAGGGUUAGUAGCAGGUUAGGGUUAGAUUAGGGUUAGGUUAGGGUUAUUAGCAGGUUAGGGUUCGGUUAGGGUUAGUGGCAGGUUAGGGUUAGGUUAGGGUUCGGUUAGGGUUAGUGGUAGGUUAGGGUUCGGUUAGGGUUAGUAGCAGGUUAGGGUUAGGUUAGGGUUAGUAGCAGGUUAGGGUUAGGUUAGGGUUAGUGGCAGGUUAGGGUUAGGUUAGGGUUAGGUUAGGGUUAGGUUAGGGUUAGGGUUAGGUUAGGGUUAGUGGCAGGUUAGGGUUAGUGGCAGGUUAGGGUUAGGUUAGGGUUAGUAGCAGGUUAGGGUUAGGGUUAGGUUAGGGUUAGUGGCAGGUUAGGGUUCGGUUAGGGUAGGUUAGGUUAGGGUUAGGUUAGGGUUAGUAGUAGGUUAGGGUUAGGUUAGGGUUAGUAGCAGGUUAGGGUUAGGUUAGGGUUAGUAGCAGGUUAGGGUUAGGUUAGGGUUAGGUUAGGGUUAGGUUAGGGUUAGUGGCAGGUUAGGCUUGGGUUAGGUUAGGGUUAGUGGCAGGUUAGGGUUAGGUUAGGGUUAGUAGCAGGUUAGGCUUAGGGUUAGGUUAGGGUUAUUAGCAGGUUAGGGUUCGGUUAGGGUUAUUAGCAGGUUAGGGUUCGGUUAGGGUUAGUGGCAGGUUAGGGUUAGGUUAGGGUUCGGUUAGGGUUAGUGGUAGGUUAGGGUUCGGUUAGGGUUAGUAGCAGGUUAGGGUUAGGUUAGGGUUAGUAGCAGGUUAGGGUUAGGUUAGGGUUAGUAGCAGGUUAGGGUUCGGUUAGGGUUAGUAGCAGGUUAGGGUUAGUUUAGGGUUAGUAGCAGGUUAGGGUUCGGUUAGGGUUAGUAGCAGGUUAGGGUUAGGUUAGGGUUAGUAGCAGGUUAGGUUAGGGUUAGGUUAGGGUUAGUUUAGGGUUAGGUUAGGGUUAGUAGCAGGUUAGGGUUAGUAGCAGGUUAGGUUAGGGUUAGUUUAGGGUUAGGUUAGGGUUAGUAGCAGGUUAGGGUUCGGUUAGGGUUAGUAGCAGGUUAGGGUUAGGUUAGGGUUAGUUUAGGGUUAGGUUAGGGUUAGGUUAGGGUUAGUAGCAGGUUAGUGUUAGGUUAGGGUUAGUAGCAGGUUAGGGUUAGG
rnacentral:lncRNA from 1 species